UACAGGGGGGGCAAGCGUUGUUCGGAAUUACUGGGCGUAAAGGGCUCGUAGGUGGCCAACUAAGUCAGACGUGAAAUCCCUCGGCUUAACCGGGGAACUGCGUCUGAUACUGGAUGGCUUGAGGUUGGGAGAGGGAUGCGGAAUUCCAGGUGUAGCGGUGAAAUGCGUAGAUAUCUGGAGGAACACCGGUGGCGAAGGCGGCAUCCUGGACCAAUUCUGACGCUGAGGAGCGAAAGCAUGGGGAGCGAACAGG
rnacentral:rRNA from 1 species